AUUGAACGCUGGCGGCAGGCCUAACACAUGCAAGUCGAACGGUAACAGGAUAGCUUGCUAUCGCUGACGAGUGGCGGACGGGUGAGUAAUACUUAGGGAUCUGCCUCUGUGUGGGGGAUAACUAUUGGAAACGAUAGCUAAUACCGCAUAAUGUCUACGGACCAAAGCGGGCUUCGGCUCGUGCGCAGAGAGGAACCUAAGCGAGAUUAGCUAGUUGGUGAGGUAAAGGCUCACCAAGGCGACGAUCUCUAGCUGUUCUGAGAGGAUGAUCAGCCACACUGGGACUGAGACACGGCCCAG
rnacentral:rRNA from 1 species